GGAUAACUGUAGUAAUUCUAGAGCUAAUACAUGACAAAAAACCUGGACUUUACAGAACAGGUGUACUUAUUAGACUUUAAAACCGAUUACAAUUUAUUGUAAAUUUAAAAUGAAUUAAAAUAAGUUUAUGAAUCGCAGAUCAUUUUGUGAUGAUAAGAAUGAAUUUCUGCCCUAUCAACUUUCGAUGGUAAUGUAGUGGAUUACCAUGGUGAUGACGGGUAACGGGGAAUUAGGGUUUGAUUCCGGAGAAAAGGCCUGAGAGACGGCCAUUACUUCUAAGGAAGGCAGCAGGCGCGUAAAUUACCCAAUCCUAAUACGGGGAGGUAGUGACAAGAAAUAUUGAUAUUGGACCCAAAGGGUACAAUGAUUGAAAUGAGAACAAUAUAAAAAACUUAACGACUAAC
rnacentral:rRNA from 1 species